rnacentral:rRNA from 1 species
GAUGAACGCUGGCGGCAUGCCUAACACAUGCAAGUCGAACGAAGGCUUCGGCCUUAGUGGCGCACGGGUGCGUAACGCGUGGGAAUCUGCCUUUCGGUUCGGAAUAACUCGGGGAAACCCGUGCUAAUACCGGAUGAUGUCGCGAGACCAAAGAUUUAUCGCCGAAAGAUGAGCCCGCGUGAGAUUAGCUAGUUGGUGGGGUAAAGGCCUACCAAGGCGACGAUCUCUAGCUGGUCUGAGAGGAUGAUCAGCCACACUGGGACUGAGACACGGCCCAGACUCCUACGGGAGGCAGCAGUGGGGAAUAUUGGACAAUGGGCGAAAGCCUGAUCCAGCAAUGCCGCGUGAGUGAUGAAGGCCUUAGGGUUGUAAAGCUCUUUUACCCGGGAUGAUAAUGACAGUACCGGGAGGAUAAGCCCCGGCUAACUCCGUGCCAGCCGCCGCCGUAA